rnacentral:rRNA from 1 species
UACGGAGGGUGCAAGCGUUAUCCGGAUUUACUGGGUUUAAAGGGUGCGUAGGUGGGUCUGUAAGUCAGUGGUGAAAUCUCCGAGCUUAACUCGGAAACUGCCAUUGAUACUAUAGGUCUUGAAUUAUCUGGAGGUAAGCGGAAUAUGUCAUGUAGCGGUGAAAUGCUUAGAUAUGACAUAGAACACCAAUUGCGAAGGCAGCUUACUACGGAUAUAUUGACACUGAGGCACAAAAGCGUGGGGAUCAAACAGG